rnacentral:tRNA from 1 species
GUUGGCAUAGUUUAAACAAAACAGUAGAUUGUGAUUCUACAAAUGGAGGUUAAUACCCUCUCGCCCACC